rnacentral:rRNA from 1 species
GGAUCAAUUUAUUGGUCGUGCUAUUGUACGUACUGGUAUUAUUGAUUCCUACCUUCUGACGAACCAUGAUGUCAUUAAUUUGGUGUCAUGGGGAAUCAGGACUGUUACUUUGAAAAAAUUAGAGUGUUUAAAGCAAGUGAAUAACAGCCUGAAUACAUUAGCAUGGAAUAAUAGAAUAGG